AGUCAAUAGAUACCCGGGUAGUCCAUGCCGUAAACGAUGAUUGCUAGGUGUGGGGGGUCUGACCCCUUCCGUGCCGGAGUUAAACACAAAUAAGCAAUCCACCUGGGGAGUACGGCCGCAAGGUUGAAACUCAAAGGAAUUGACGGGGGCCCGCACAAGCAGUGGAGUAUGUGGUUUAAUUCGAAGCAACGCGAAGAACCUUACCAGGUCUUGACAUCCACCGAAUCCUGUAGAGAUACGGGAGUGCCCUUCGGGGAACGGUGAGACAGGUGGUGCAUGGUUGUCGUCAGCUCGUGUCGUGAGAUGUUGGGUUAAGUCCCGCAACGAGCGCAACCCUUGUGAAUAGUUGCUACGAAAGAGCACUCUAUUCAGACCGCCGUUGACAAAACGGAGGAAGGUGGGGAUGACGUCAAAUCAUCAUGCCCCUUAUGACCUGGGCUACACACGUACUACAAUGGUCGUCAACAGAGGGAAGCAAGACCGCGAGGUGGAGCGAACCCCUAAAAACGGUCUCAGUUCAGAUUGCAGGCUGAAACUCGCCUGC
rnacentral:rRNA from 1 species